GGAUGAGAUUUGGGCCAUCGAUCAAUGCCCUUUAUCUCCUAUUCAAAGUCGGGAUAAAUGCUAGCCAUCAGAUCAACCAUCAGAUGGAUUUUCAGUCAUCGGAUCGCGCUCAAAUCUCUUUCUUUUAACCGACAAUGAAUGUGGACCGUCGGAUCUAGUUUAGUUUGAAUUUGGACCAUUGGAUCGUACAAAUUUCUUCCAUCUCACCUGUGAA
rnacentral:lncRNA from 1 species